AUGAUUCAAGCCUCUACAACUACAACAUCUUCUCCCUUGCAGGCUGAAGCAUGGGCUCUCUUGUUUGCAGCAAAGAUUGCUAAUCAUCUCAACAUCAUCCAGGUUUCCUUUCUCACUGAUAACCUGAUCCUGGCAAGAGCAGCAGCUCAGAGAAGCAUUGAUUCAUGUAAAGUUGGUUGGGAAAUCAGGAAGGAACUUGCAGAUUACAUUCAUACCACGAAAGAACUCCAACCUCAAGUAUUUCAUAUCUCAAGAGAGCUAAAUGGAGUUUCUCAAACUGUGCACAUCAGGUACUCAACAACUUGGUUGAACCUAUCUUUAGUUGUGUUAAUUCAGCUCAUAGAAAUAGGCCAUGUCCUGUAA
rnacentral:rRNA from 1 species